GUUGAUUUCAAGCUGCUGGGAUCAACAUUGACUGUUAAGCAGUGAAAACAUGCUGACAUAUUUUUUUUGGUCUUUUUUCAUAGACCGAAUUAAAGCUGCAUUUCAGUUCCUGAAAGGUAUCCCUCUUAUUUUGUCACAUUCAGCCUGACAUGACCGCCGUUGCAUUAACUCAUUUAUAUUCAAUUUUAUUUUCCAGAAAAAGUCUGCUCAUCAAAAAAGUAUGAUGUCUAAAGUUUCAAGGAACCAGAAUGACUGCGACGCAGAAACACCACCCAUCACCAGAGAUGACUGUGGCACCAGAAGUGUGGCUUGUAUGGCACACUGUGUAUUUAUUUAUAGGGCGAAAGCAGCAACAAAAGCAAGCAGAAUGAAUGUACACUACCAGUCAAAAGUUUGGACACACCUUCCCGUUCAGUGUUUUUUAUUUGUUUGUAUUAUUUUCUACAAUGUAGAUUAAUACUGAGGAUUAACAACAUAAUUCCAUAUGUACUCUUUUAUAGUUUUGAUGUCUCCAGUAUUAAUCUACAAUGUAUAAAAUAAUUAAAUAAAAAAACAUUGAAUGAGAAGGUGUGUCCAAACUUUUGACUGGUUGUGUAUUUUGCGGGGAUAUGCCGGGGAUGUUCAGUAUUUAUCUGUGUCUGAAACAAAACUGUUGUUAUUUUUCUGAACUUGUGUGUUUUUAUUGUUAUUGUCACAUGGGAACUUUAUUCCCCUUACAACUACAAAACAGAAUGCAGUAAAACAAAAAAAAGCCCAGCCACCAUGGAAAAUUCCAACAAUAUUAGCGAACAUUCCCUAAAAGUUCCACUUCUGUUUCUAAGAAAAAGUUUUAAUGUUGAAAAGAACUUCAUCUAAUGUUCCUGUAAAGCUAAAUGUUAACCUCAUGUUUUGGCUACACAUUAUGUUAAAUGAUAGCAAAUGAAGAACAUUCUCAUUUUAACAUUUGAAAAAUGGUUGAUAAUGACCUGAGAUGUCAGAAUGUUUCCCAAGAAAUGUUUCUGCAACGUAAUGUGUUAAUAAAAGUUAAUUUUCGGGAACAUUCUGAAGCUGUUUUGGGAAUAUUGAUGAGGUAAUAGAAAGGUUUCAUAUAAAACGUUUGCAUUGUGUUACAAGUUAAUGAUUCAAUAAACGUUUUAAGGAUGUAAUUGCAGCUUGAUAGAACAAAACAUUCUUGAAACAAGAAAACUAAACAAAAAAAAUUUCCCGCCAAAACGUUUUUAGCGGGAAUAUGCUUAGAAUCACUGAAC
ensembl:lncRNA